GCCUAAUACAUGCAAGUCGAGCGGACAGAAGGGAGCUUGCUCCCGGAUGUUAGCGGCGGACGGGUGAGUAACACGUGGGUAACCUGCCUGUAAGACUGGGAUAACUCCGGGAAACCGGAGCUAAUACCGGAUAGUUCCUUGAACCGCAUGGUUCAAGGAUGAAAGACGGUUUCGGCUGUCACUUACAGAUGGACCCGCGGCGCAUUAGCUAGUUGGUGAGGUAACGGCUCACCAAGGCGACGAUGCGUAGCCGACCUGAGAGGGUGAUCGGCCACACUGGGACUGAGACACGGCCCAGACUCCUACGGGAGGCAGCAGUAGGGAAUCUUCCGCAAUGGACGAAAGUCUGACGGAGCAACGCCGCGUGAGUGAUGAAGGUUUUCGGAUCGUAAAGCUCUGUUGUUAGGGAAGAACAAGUGCAAGAGUAACUGCUUGCACCUUGACGGUACCUAACCAGAAAGCCACGGCUAACUACGUGCCAGCAGCCGCGGUAAUACGUAGGUGGCAAGCGUUGUCCGGAAUUAUUGGGCGUAAAGGGCUCGCAGGCGGUUUCUUAAGUCUGAUGUGAAAGCCCCCGGCUCAACCGGGGAGGGUCAUUGGAAACUGGGAAACUUGAGUGCAGAAGAGGAGAGUGGAAUUCCACGUGUAGCGGUAAAAUGCGUAGAGAUGUGGAGGAACACCAGUGGCGAAGGCGACUCUCUGGUCUGUCCUAAC
rnacentral:rRNA from 1 species